rnacentral:lncRNA from 1 species
AUGGAGGUGAGUUUACACAAGAACGCAAUUAUUUUUCUUGCUAAGCCACCGAAGAAGUGUGUGUGUGCGAAUCCGCUUCCACUGUGGAGGGAAGACUGGAAUGAGUCACUUUGUCACGUUUGUCAGAAAGGGUUAAAUCCUUAUUCAUUGAGGAGAUGCAGAUUCGUACAUGAAGGCGGCUGGUCCAUGCUUAACCGUCGUCGUCGGCGCGGUCAGGCGGCCAGUCCUCCUCCGGGUCCAGCAGGUCCUCCUCCGGGGCCAGCAGGUCCUCCUCCGGGUCCGGUCGCUCCGGGUCGGUGGACUCAGAACCUCUGGUCUCGUGGCGGGAGAGGAGAGCCAUUCAGCCGCUGAGGGAAACCUUUCAUUCGAGCGAGCACUGCGCAACAGGUGGAUCGGCCGGAACCAGACCGCUGAUACCUAAUUAUCACUCUUUUUCAGACACAAAUGUAGACAAACUGUUAAAGAAAUGAAAUUCUCUCACGUUCAUUGGCUGACUCUACAUGCUAAUUUGGGAAUUGUUUGCCUUCCAUAUCUCUGGGGGUCCUUUUGGUUGCGUCUGUUUUACUACACCUUUACUAGCCUGUCUGCAAAAAAACUUUCUUGGGUGUGAUCGGCUCCUCUGAAGCCUGCUGCUCACUUCCAACCUCUCCUCGUACCUCAGUACCUCAGCAGUCCUGCGGAGGGCGCUACUGCGCCUCUCGUUGUAUCACAAUCACAUUUCAUGCGCUUUAAUACAUUGUAUUACAUUUGUGUUUUCAAUCAAUGUAAAGUGUAAAGUGUUUUUAUAUUUUUGUAUAUGACUAGUCUAAACUUUGACUCUGGUUAGUUAAAGUGCAGAAAAACACAGAUAACCAAAAAGGAACCCAAAGAUAUGGAGGUAAACCAUUCCUUAAUGAUCUUCAGUCAGCCAAUCGGCGAGAGAAGAUUAUAUUAAUUUAAAGAUGACCGAGAUCCAUGCAUCAACAUUCAUGGAUGAAUGUUUCUGUUUGUAAAAUGAAUGACAUCUUCAUAAUCCGACUAUUCUUAUUUAUUUUUUUCAAUUGCCCUGAAGCUCUUGAUCUUCGGGGCAUUUAAAAAGUCAGAAAAACACAGAAAAAUAAGUGUCCGAUUGGUAAAAAAAAAAACCCAGAUACGGAUAUCUAGGUUAUAUGCAAGGUUUGAUUUUUCUUUUGUUGUGUGAUUUGAUACUGCAUCCAUCAUUAUAUAUUCCUCUACCUGUGUACAUACCUUGCACAUACUAUUAGUGUAAUAGUAAUGUAAGCAUUGUUGUUUAAUAAAAUAAGGGUACUCACUUGAUCAGAAGCGCACACAAGGAGAGAGGCAGGACGGUUUGGUGGUGAGGAUAAUAUUGAACGGUAGUAUUAUGUAUACUAUAUAUAGGCCACAAACUACUGCAUUGUGGGCUGGCCGGCCACACCACGCCUCCAACGCUUUAUUAUGUCCAUGCUCCAAAUGCUGCAGCCUUCCCUGGCGUGCAGCAUUCCUACAUUAGUCACACACACACACACACACACAGUCACACACACACUUCCACUAAAGCUAUUCAAACACAGCUCGGUUUUAGCGGGUUGAGGUAUGUUGAGCUCAAAGCCUGGGUUAAUGUGGCGCGUUCCUCUGCAGGGUGCAGGGGAAAGGUUUGAGCUACCGGGGGUUGUUCUGAUGGCUAUGUUCCUGAUGUUCAGUAUGAAUCACUUAACAAGCAAUGAAUCAUUCUACAGUAUGACCAAGAAGCUCGGAGCAGUCAACAUAUAAACUGCUUUUUCCUUUAAGCCAGGCCUAUGUAUGCCGAUAUGAAUUGAUGACAUCUAUAUUUUACUAUUGAAUUGUAAAAGAAAAACAAAACAAAUAUUGCUGAUCUCCA